rnacentral:rRNA from 1 species
CCUACGGGAGGCAGCAGUGAGGAAUAUUGGUCAAUGGCCGUAAGGCUGAACCAGCCAAGUCGCGUGAAGGAAGAAGGAUCUAUGGUUUGUAAACCUCUUUUAUAGGGGAAUAAAGGUAUCCACGUGUGGAUAUUUGCAUGUACCCUAUGAAUAAGCAUCGGCUAACUCCGUGCCAGCAGCCGCGGUAAUACGGAGGAUGCGAGCGUUAUCCGGAUUUAUUGGGUUUAAAGGGUGCGUAGGGUGUUUUGUAAGUCAGCGGUGAAAGUUUGUGGCUCAACCAUAAAAUUGCCGUUGAAACUGGAAGUCUUGAGUGUGUUUGAGGUAGGCGGAAUGCGUGGUGUAGCGGUGAAAUGCAUAGAUAUCACGCAGAACUCCGAUUGCGAAGGCAGCUUACUAAGCCAUAACUGACGCUGAAGCACGAAAGCGUGGGGAUCAAACAGGAUUAGAUACCCUUGUAGUC